GUGACUUCCAGAGAGAGAGGAGAGGCUGAAGGUUGAGUUGAUUACCAGUAGCUCACGAUAUAAUCAUUCAUGCCUACAUAACACAGCUUUCAUAAGAACCCAAUAGGACAGAGUUCAAGGGGCCUCUGGAGAAUGCCACACCUAUAGAGGCAUGGAAGCUCUUUGCCACUUUCAUCUAUUGAUCUAUAUCCUUUGUAAUGCCUUUUAUAAGAAAUGGGCAGAUUCCAGCAGUGUUUGUGAGAAAAACUGGUGGAUACUGCAGAUUAACUAUGGACAGCCAAAUAUUGAGUAAAGUGAUGUCUACAACAGCAUCAGCUAUGCCUGAUAUGGUGUUAAUUCACAUUGUGAAGUCCUCAAUAGGAAAAAGAUGCCUCCCUGGUCAACCUUCCUGGAAAGUACACCUAUCAUUACUGCUCAGAUUUUGUUGGAGAGAAAUCACACUACCAUCAAAGACAAUGGGUCAAAGAGAAUGCCAUCCUAAGCUGAGAAGCCAUCUUCCCAAUGACAUCCAUGAUUGCUAAAGUCCUAUUGCAUGCUUUAAGAUGCCUUGCAUUU
rnacentral:lncRNA from 1 species